CGUGAGAAGCGGUGGAGGUAUCAGAAGUGCGAAUGCCGGCAUGAGUAGCGUAAAGAGAUGUGAGAAUCAUCUCCGCCGAAAGCCUAAGAUUUCCUGGGCCAGGGUUUUCCACCCAGGGUUAGGCGGGACCUAAGUCGAGGUCGAGAGACGUAGAUGAUGGACAGCCGGUUAAGAUUCCGGCCCCACGGCAACUUGUUUGAUCAAUGGAGUGACGCAGAAAGAUA
rnacentral:rRNA from 1 species